rnacentral:rRNA from 1 species
CACUCUAGCGAGAUGCGUAAUAACGGAGAGUGGGAUGACGUCAAAUCAUCAUGCCCCGUAUGACCUGGGCUACACACGUGCUACAAUGGUUGGUACAACGAGUUGCGAGUCGGUGACGGCGAGCUAAUCUCUUAAAGCCAAUCUCAGUUCGGAUUGUAGGCUGCAACUCGCCUACAUGAAGUCGGAAUCGCUAGUAAUCGCGGAUCAGCACGCCGCGGUGAAUACGUUCCCGGGCCUU